AGGCUAACCAGGCCAGAUGUUGGUUACUGGUUCAAGCGUUCGAGGCUUUGAGAGAUGGAGAAAACAUCUCGAGCUAAGGCGUGAGUACGAGCUGCUACGGCAGCGAAGUUGGUGAUGUCAUGCUUCCAAGAAAAGCCCUAUACUCGUUAAGACACAAAUGCCAGUACCCGAAACCGACACAGGUGGGGUGGUAGAGAAUACCGAGGGGCGCGAGAUAACUCUCUCUAAGGAACUCGGCAAAAUGGCCCCGUAACUUCGGGAGAAGGGGUGCCAGCGAGAGCUGGUCGCAGUGAAGAGGCGCAAGCGACUGUUUACCAAAAACACAGGUCUCCGCUAAGUCGCAAGACGAUGUAUGGGGGCUGACACCUGCCCAGUGCCGGAAGGUUAAGGAAGCUGGUUAGCUUUUAGUGAAGCUGGCGACUGAAGCCCCGGUGAACGGCGGCCGUAACUAUAACGGUCCUAAGGUAGCGAAAUUCCUUGUCGGGUAAGUUCCGACCCGCACGAAAGGUGUAACGAUUUGCGCGCUGUCUCGGAGAGAGGCUCGGCGAAAUAGAAUUGUCUGUGAAGAUGCGGACUACAUACACCCGGACAGAAAGACCCUAUGAAGCUUUACUGUAGUUUGAUAUUGUGCUCGGGCUCUGAAUGCGCAGAAUAGGUGGGAGACGUUGAAAUAGUGCUUGUGGGUACUAUUGAGUCAUCGGUGAGAUACCACUCUUUUAGAGCUAGGGUUCUAACGCUUACCCGUUAUCCGGGAAGCGGACAGUAUCUGAUGGGCAGUUUGACUGGGGCGGUCGCCUCCUAAAAGGUAACGGAGGCGCACAAAGGUUCCCUCAGGCUGGUUGGAAAUCAGUCGUUGAGUGCAAAAGCAGAAGGGAGCUUGACUGUGAGACCUACAAGUCGAACAGGGACGAAAGUCGGUUUUAGUGAUCCGACGGUUCUGCGUGGAAGGGCCGUCGCUCAACGGAUAAAAGUUACUCUAGGGAUAACAGGCUGAUCUCCCCCAAGAGUUCACAUCGACGGGGAGGUUUGGCACCUCGAUGUCGGCUCAUCGCAACCUGGGGCUGAAGUCGGUCCCAAGGGUUGGGCUGUUCGCCCAUUAAAGCGGUACGCGAGCUGGGUUCAGAACGUCGUGAGACAGUUCGGUCCAUAUCCGGUGUAUGCGCAGGAAUAUUGAGAGGAUUUCUCCCUAGUACGAGAGGACCGGGAGGAACGCACCUCUGGUGUGCCAGUUAUCGUGCCAACGGUAAACGCUGGGUAGCCAUGUGCGGAGUGGAUAACCGCUGAAAGCAUCUAAGUGGGAAGCCCACCUCAAGAUGAGUAUUGCCAUGGCUUAAGCCAGUAAGGUCACGGGAAGAACACCCGUUGAUAGGCUCUACGUGGAAGCUUGGUAACAAGUGCAGCGGAGGAGUACUAAUAGACCGAGGGCUUGACCAA
rnacentral:rRNA from 1 species